rnacentral:rRNA from 1 species
CAGUCGCCGCGGUAAUACGGAGGGUGCAAGCGUUAAUCGGAAUUACUGGGCGUAAAGCGCACGCAGGCGGUUUGUUAAGUCAGAUGUGAAAUCCCCGAGCUUAACUUGGGAACUGCAUUUGAAACUGGCAAGCUAGAGUCUUGUAGAGGGGGGUAGAAUUCCAGGUGUAGCGGUGAAAUGCGUAGAGAUCUGGAGGAAUACCGGUGGCGAAGGCGGCCCCCUGGACAAAGACUGACGCUCAGGUGCGAAAGCGUGGGGAGCAAACAGGAUUAGAUACCCGCGUAGUCCCUGUCUCUUAUAA